UAAUCCACCCACCUACAUUAUAAUCCACCCAGGCUACAUUAUAAUCCACCCAGGCUACAUUAUAAUCCACCCAGGCCACAUUAUAAUCCCCAUCACCCAGGCUACAUUAUAAUCCCCAUCACCCAGGCCACAUUAUAAUCCCCAUCACCCAGACUACAUUAUAAUCCCCCCAGACUACAUUAUAAUCCCACCCAGGCUACAUUAUAAUCCACCCAGGCUACAUUAUAAUCCACCCAGGCUACAUUAUAAUCCACCCAGGCCACAUUAUAAUCCCCAUCACCCAGGCUACAUUAUAAUCCCCCCAGACUACAUUAUAAUCCCACCCAGGCUACAUUAUAAUCCCCCCAGACUACAUUAUAAUCCCCCCAGACUACAUUAUAAUCCCCCCAGACUACAUUAUAAUCCCCCCAGACUACAUUAUAAUCCACCCAGGCUACAUUAUAAUCCACCCAGACUACAUUAUAAUCCCACCCAGGCUACAUUAUAAUCCACCCAGGCUACAUUAUAAUCCACCCAGGCUACAUUAUAAUCGAACCCAGACUACCAGUAUGUCAGAACUGCAGUACUAUUUAUUGUCAAAACGAGUGAAAACUUGGGUUUCAUGAUUAGAGUCAAGUUUCCCCUAAAGGCUGAUCUUGAGUCAGUCUAGCGUUUCUCCCCAUUAAUGUUUUGUGUAAAGCUUGGGGGAGGGAACCUGAUCCUAGGUCUGUACCUAGGGGAAGCUGAUCCUAGGUCUGUACCUAUUGGAAACUGAUCCUAGGUCUGUCCCUAGGGGAAACGUUCACCCCAGAGCCUCAUGAUAUGGCAGAAACUAGUGUGUGUUGAUGCCAGAAACAAAAAUAAUAUAACUGUAAAUUAACGAACUGUUUUGUCUGGGUAAAACUACAACAUUAGUCCCCUCAGCAGCCGGUGUGGAGUCUGAAGUUAUGAAGCGUUACUAAGGCAAACGAGCAGAAAAUAAACUAUUGUGAUUAAAACGU